rnacentral:lncRNA from 1 species
GAUUUAAUUUUGAGAACUCAUCCACGUCAAUGGGAGGAGAUGAUUUGAGCAAAAAAUAAGCUGUUACUGAAGGUGAAAUAGAUAUGUCUUGAAGGUGUGCAAUCUUUUAUACAAGUUCAUGAGCUCUGUUCAAUAGAUGAUGUUCAAGAAAGGUAUUCACAAUUGAGAUGAAAAAUGGCCAUCUUUCUUUUACCAUUUGAAAAACCAUUUAUUGUUACCCCUUUGAGCUUAUCAUUUUUUUUAAGAACCCCAACCAAGGAUCACCC